rnacentral:tRNA from 1 species
UCUGUUGUUGUCCAGUGGUUAAGAUAUUUGGUUUUCACCUAAGAGACCCGGGUUUGAUUCUUGACAAUGGAA